rnacentral:sRNA from 1 species
GAGGCGCUUGGGAGGACUCCCCCAGUUCUGUUAAGAGCUGGGCACAAAGAGCCCUUUGCACUCCAGCCGCAGGAGCGAGGAGGAGCCGAGCUAGAUGCACAUGGGCGUGGGGACUCCGGUACAACACCAACCCACAAGGUUAGCAGACCUGGGGCGUCCAGCGCAGCCUCAAACCCAGGGCAUCUCUGCACUCUCAUCGCGACGUCGCUCUGGAUGCUGUUUGCAUAUCCUUGGGGAGUCACUGCUUUGGCACAACAGUCCUGCGAGGUGCUGGAAUUCCGUCUGUUCUCAUCACACGGACAUGGCUGAUCUGUCUCAGUGGUACCUGGGGGCAAAGCAGGGAGCCGGGCGGUGGAGGCCAACAUUGUUACCAAGUUGGCUCUGUCUCAACACAGGGACUGAGCCUUCUGAGCCUCAAGAGUUCCUGCUGGUUCCCAGGUGGUGGA